rnacentral:ncRNA from 2 species
CUCUUAUCAAGAGCAGGCGGAGGGAUUUGGCCCUAUGAUGCCCAGCAACCGACCGUAAUACCAUUGCGAAAUGGGGCGCAGCUUUUUGCGCCGGAAGACAUCUUCCACAAGGCACGGUGCUAAUUCCAGCAGAAAGACAUCUUUCUGGCAGAUAAGAG